rnacentral:rRNA from 1 species
CUCUACGGCCAUACCACCCUGAACAUGCCCCAUCUCAUCUGAUCUCAGAAGCUAAGCAGGGUCAGGCCUGGUUAGUACUUGGACAGGAGACUAAGUCUACAGC